GACGAACCGGGCGAACGGUGUUCGGAAUCACUGGGCUUAAAGGGCGCGUAGGCGGGCUGUCAAGUCCGGGGUGAAAUCUUUCGGCUUAACCGGAAAAGUGCCUUGGAUACUGAUGGUCUCGAGGGAGGUAGGGGCAGCUGGAACUUCCGGUGGAGCGGUGAAAUGCGUUGAUAUCGGAAGGAACUCCGGUGGCGAAAGCGAGCUGCUGGACCUCUUCUGACGCUGAGGCGCGAAAGCUAGGGGAGCAAACGGG
rnacentral:rRNA from 1 species